AUGGCAGAGUUUAUAACUUCAUGCCACAUAAUGCGCAGGCUCCUCAGGCUAUUGAGGGAUACGGUCAGUACCCGUUCCAAGGUUGAGGUUAGCAGUGUGGGACCACCAUCCGAACUCAUCUACUCUUACGAUCCAGUUCAGGGUAGAAGUUUUAUGUAUUACUUCAGUUUCAGUUUUUAUUUACUUUUGACGUUGAACUCUCAGGGUUAUAUUUAGGGAUCCUUGACAUAGGAUUUCCAAGUUGUAAUGAAGUACUGUAUUAAAUAAAGGAUGGAUGGAUGUUGUAUUAUUUAGUGUUCCUUUCUUGUCUAAAUUCUUUUAUUAUCAUCAUUUUGUAUUCCAUGCUUGUAUAUUGCCAAUUGUUUUUGAUA